rnacentral:lncRNA from 1 species
CACGCCUGGUCCACAGAGAUGCUCAAAAAAGAUCUGUUGGUAGGCAAUGCGAAGGUGCAUUCAUGUCAUCCUGCAGGCGGAAUUCUCCACGAGUUUUGAGCAGCCUCAGUUUUCCCACCACCUCCAAAUCAUGGAAGACGCAGGGUGCAGGCAGAGCCCCCAGAGCCAUGGCCAGCCCUUCCGGCAGCUCCGAAGCCACUGGCAAGCCCCGAGGCAGGGAUGGCGGGCCCAGGAGGGAGGAGGACGACGUCCCUCCCGAAGAGAAGAGGCUGCGGCUGUUGCUGGAGAGGGGAAGCGCGCAGCCCGAGGACUGCGAGGACGGGGAGGACGCGCCGCGGCCAGGCAGGAAGAAGACCGGCACCC